rnacentral:rRNA from 1 species
AUUGAACGCUGGCGGCAGGCUUAACACAUGCAAGUCGAGCGGAGAUGAGGUGCUUGCACCUUAUCUUAGCGGCGGACGGGUGAGUAAUGCUUAGGAAUCUGCCUAUUAGUGGGGGACAACAUUCCGAAAGGAAUGCUAAUACCGCAUACGCCCUACGGGGGAAAGCAGGGGAUCUUCGGACCUUGCGCUAAUAGAUGAGCCUAAGUCGGAUUAGCUAGUUGGUGGGGUAAAGGCCUACCAAGGCGACGAUCUGUAGCGGGUCUGAGAGGAUGAUCCGCCACACUGGGACUGAAACACGGCCCAGACUCCUACGGGAGGCAGCAGUGGGGAAUAUUGGACAAUGGGCGCAAGCCUGAUCCAGCCAUGCCGCGUGUGUGAAGGAGGCCUUAUGGUUGUAAAGCACUUUAAGCGAGGAGGAGGCUACUCUAGUUAAUACCUAGAGAUAGUGGACGUUACUCGCAGAAUAAGCACCGGCUAACUCUGUGCCAGCAGCCGCCGUAAGAC